ACACUGUUCAGCACACUCUACUUCCACCACUUGGUAGAGUUAUACUUCGGUUCAUACACCACCUAAAAGGUACCUACUACCAUCUGGCUAUCCGCCGACCCACGUACUUAUUAACAGUUCCACCGGCUUCGAUCGCGAUAAAAACAACCUGACUUCCUUAACAUAUUCAAUAAAGCUCCGAGGGAUCACCACCUCUAGCUGAUGCGUCACCCCUUUCCUCGAUCCCCAACUAAAACAUUCUUCUAGUAACAGGCUGCGUUAAUAACAACUAUAAUUUAGGCGGC
rnacentral:rRNA from 1 species